CCGUGGUUCUUUAAUCUCUCUAAAUAUUUGCUUAUUCAUGCGAGGAAGGUUGCCUAAGGUCUUCCUCUUAUAAUUAUAACAGUAUACUGAAUAUAUAGUAUUGAAUAUAUUAAAUAACAUGGUAUAACACUGCCAUGUUACAGCAGUCAUAGCAAAAAACUUAUUCCGUUUCAGCUGCGAUAUCUACCCUCAGUUAACUAAGAGUUUGCUUCAAGAAAAUAUAUUUUAAUUUGUUCUAAUCGCAAAUACUAUAUAUAUAUAUUAUAAAACAGUAAAAGCCCUAAGAAACUCUGGGACCUAAAACUUGAAUAGAUUCAACCAAAUUUGUGUGCGUGCAUGCCUAUACUUUAAUUGUAUCGCACAUGCUAUAUGAUAAACAUGAAACGUCUCAAAUAGAAAGUAUAUUUUACUUUAUAUGCUUUAUUUAAAAAUAAGUUAGACAUCACGUUAGACCGGUUUAAAAAGUAUUUAUGUACUUACUGCACAAAGCGUUGUAACAAAAAUCAAAGCCAGAACUGUCGCCAACACCCUCAUUUUUAUUUGCGCUGCUAUUGUAAAAUGUUCCUCACUCUUCCUCGGAUUGACUUGAAAUGACAAAAUUUUCGCAAGGAAAGUGCAUUUAUAUUGAAAACACCACUACACCAGCUGUGCUGAUUUACGUCAAUAGAUUUGACUUUUCUUG
rnacentral:lncRNA from 1 species